rnacentral:rRNA from 1 species
AUUGAACGCUGGCGGCAUGCCUUACACAUGCAAGUCGAACGGCAGCACGGGAGCAAUCCUGGUGGCGAGUGGCGAACGGGUGAGUAAUAUAUCGGAACGUGCCCAGUCGUGGGGAUAACGUAGCGAAAGCUACGCUAAUACCGCAUACGAUCUAUGGAUGAAAGCGGGGGAUCGCAAGACCUCGCGCGAUUGGAGCGGCCGAUAUCAGAUUAGGUAGUUGGUGAGGUAAAGGCUCACCAAGCCGACGAUCUGUAGCUGGUCUGAGAGGACGACCAGCCACACUGGGACUGAGACACGGCCCAGACUCCUACGGGAGGCAGCAGUGGGGAAUUUUGGACAAUGGGCGCAAGCCUGAUCCAGCAAUGCCGCGUGCAGGAUGAAGGCCUGGUGUAA